AACGAACGCUGGCGGCAGGCUUAACACAUGCAAGUCGAACGCGUGCAGCAAUGCACGAGUGGCGCACGGGUGAGUAACGCGUGGAUAUCUGCCUUUUGGUUCGGAAUAACCCCGGGAAACUGGGGCUAAUACCGGAUGGUUCCUACGGGAUAAAGAUUUAUCGCCAAAAGAUGAGUCCGCGUCCGAUUAGCUAGUUGGUGAGGUAAUGGCUCACCAAGGCGACGAUCGGUAGCUGGUCUGAGAGGACGAUCAGCCACACUGGGACUGAGACACGGCCCAGACUCCUACGGGAGGCAGCAGUGGGGAAUAUUGGACAAUGGGGGCAACCCUGAUCCAGCCAUGCCGCGUGAGUGAUGAAGGCCUUCGGGUUGUAAAGCUCUUUUGGCGGGGACGAUGAUGACGGUACCCGCAGAAUAAGCCCCGGCUAACUUCGU
rnacentral:rRNA from 1 species